rnacentral:lncRNA from 1 species
UUCUAGUGCCCCUUCAUAUGAUUAGAUCAAAAAGUCUUUAGGUCUUUGUAAUCCUGAAGAUUGUAAACUUCUUCAUCUGUAUGUAUUUGGGUAUUUAUCUUUUUUCAAUUUUAUAGAGUACUUCUCUAUAACAUAUUUCUGUUCUUAUCACCCUAUGUUUUUUAGCUCUUCAAUUCAGAUCUUAAUGGCCUUCACAUUUUAAUUUGAACUUGUAGACAUGAGGCAAAGUUCAUCGAGAAUAUUGUUGAAGUGAUUGCAAGCAAGCUACGUCCCAGAGCCUUAAACAAUGCUCCUUACCUCAUCGAAAUCAGUUAUCGGGCUGAAGAUAUUAUCUUGUGGUUACAAGAUAUAUCAACUAAUGUAGGGCUGUAUGUGAUCUGUGGGAUUGGGGGAAUUGGGAAGACAACCCUUGCCAAAUUUGCCUAUAACUCAAGUGCAAGAUCAUUUGAAGGUAGCAGCUUUCUUGCAAACAUCAGUGAAACUGCAAAACAAUGUAAUGGUUUAGUUCGUCUGCAGAAGCAAGUUUUGUAUGAUAUAGUUGGAAAAAAAGAGAGGAUAUCCAAUGCUGAUGAAGGAAUUAUGAUGAUUGAAGAUGCCCUACGCUAUAAGCAAAUUCUUCUUGUUCUUGAUGAUGUUGAUGAAGUUGACCAGAUAGAUAUACUUUUAGGAAUGAGAGAUUGGCUUAAUCCUGCUAGUAAAAUCAUUAUAACAACGAGGUAUGAGUCAUUGCUAAAGCCUUCAGUACCUCACAAGGUACUUAAAGUAGAAGCGUUGAAUAAAAUGGAUUCCCUGAAGCUGUUUAGCUGGCAUGCCUUCGGAGAAGACCAUCCUUUGGAAGGUUAUCUCGAGCUCUCAAAACGGGUGGUUCUUCAAUGUGCAGGACUUCCUUUAGCUCUUCGUGUUUUAGGUUCAGCGCUGUCAGGUAGAAGACCAGAAAUAUGGGGAAGUGCAUUAGAAAAGCUGGAAACAAUCCCUGAUGGUCAUGUCAUUGAAAAUCUUAAAGUGAGUUUUUAUUCUCUAGAAGAUGACCAUGACAAAAAUAUAUUCCUUCAUAUAGCUAUUUUCUUUCUUGGGAUGGAUAGAGACGACUCCGUCAGAAUACUGAAUGGAUGUGGUUUUCACACAAUAAUUGGGAUGCAAAACCUCAUUGAUAGAAGUCUUUUGACAAUCAAUGAGUUAAAUAAGUUGGAGAUGCACCAGUUGCUUCGAGACCUUGCGAGAGAUAUCGUCCGUAGAGAAUCACAGGAUCCUGGAAAACGCAGUUAAAUAAGUUGGAGAUGCACCAGUUGCUACGAGACCUUGGGAGAGAUAUCGUCCGUAUGGAAUCACAGGAUCCUGGAAAACGCAGUAGACUUUGGAAUAACAAGGAUUCUUUCAGAGUGUUGAACGAUAAGACUGUGAGACAUUUAAUAUGUGUGUUCUGUCCUUCUUUGCUGCAUCAUACCCUUACAAUUUAUUUAUUUCUUACCAAAUUUCCUGUUAGGGCACUGAAAGGAUUGAAGGGAUCAGCCUUGACAUGCCUGUGUUGAUGGAAGAUAAAUCAGCCAAAAGAUUUUUCACUGGCUCGAAAAUGCGCUUCCUAAACGAUCAUGUAGAGAGCUGUGCAGAUCAUAAUGUCUCGCUGCAGCAGCCCUCUUUUGGCAUUUAUUCAUGGCAUUCAGUAGACACUUCAUCAAGAAACUCAAACUACGUCAUAGAAACUGAUGCAUUUAUGAUAAUGCGAAACCUAAGAGUGCUCAAACUAAAUGAUGUGAACCUCAUUGGAUGCUAUAAAGAAUUCCCAAAGAGAUUAAAAUGGUUGUCUUGGCGUAAAUGCCCUUUAAAAUCCUUACCUAGUGACCUUUCCUGGGAAGGCCUCGUUUCUAUUGACAUGCGGUACAGCAAUUUACAACAAACAUGGAGUGAAACU